rnacentral:rRNA from 1 species
UGCCAGCAGCCGCGGUAAUACGUAGGGUGCAAGCGUUAAUCGGAAUUACUGGGCGUAAAGCGUGCGCAGGCGGUUUUGUAAGCCCAGUGGUGAAAUCCCCGGGCUCAACCUGGGAACUGCCAUUGUGACUGCAAGGCUAGAGUGYGGCAGAGGGGGAUGGAAUUCCGUGUGYAGCAGUGAAAUGCBUAAAUWUGCGGAGGAACACCGAUGGCUGAAGGCAAUCCUCUGGGC